CGCCGUGCUCUCUUUUCUCCCCGACACCGCCCGAGCCAUCUCCUCCUCUCUGCCCUAACCGCCGGCCGGCGGUUCCUCCUCCCCGAGUGCACAAAACCCCUCGGCCACUUCUAUUUCUUCCUCCCAAGCCGCACACCCGAAGCCUUCUCCUCUUCUCCUCUUCUCUGCCGCCGACCUUCCUCCGCGCUACUGCCGAGCCCCGAUCUCCUCUGUGCCCUAGCAUCUCCGCCGACGCCAGCCACUCGAGUAGCGCUGGCCACCCCCGAUUCCGGCAACCGAGUACACUGUUGGGGUUCUUCAGUGCUGUAGCACUGCCUCCGACCAUAUCUUUUCUCUGGUUUCUGGCGAUCAAGAAGGGUUUCAGUGAGUGAGGAGGUUUGCCAGCAUCUACUUCUUCCGGCAGCAAUCCACUUUGACUGUGGGUUGAGCGGUAUCACAGUGUAUACCUCCGACCUUGAUCAACUGAGGAAUCCCUAUUACUUGGAUUGUGACUCGAGACGGUGUCUCGACGAGGGAUCUGUUUCGGAUACGAUCUUUUCUA